CGUUCUUCUUCCCCCAAAAUGUGAAAUGGAGACCCUAAAAUCUCAAGUUUCACUCUAACUCACACUAAGCUUCAAUUUCAAUUUCACCUUCAGGAUUCAGUUUCUGAUUUGAGUGCAUUUUGGAUUUCGCAACGACAAGGGAUUCAAGCUUUUCUGAAUAUGUGUAAUUCAGAAGAUGAAAAGAUAAGAUCAAUGGCUAUAAAGAUGAAGGCAAAGUACAAUAAAUAUUGGGGAAAACCUGACCUCCUUAACAUGUUGUUGAUUGCAAUGGUACUAGACCCUCGAUGUAAAAUGAAGCUUGUGGUAUUGAAAACCAAAUUGGAUUCACAUUUGAAGUCUAUUUUGGAAGAAUACUCUGGUAGUGCGGUGUCUCGGCUAGGUAGUUCAGUCAAUCUAUCAAGUGGUUUUAAUGCAGUUAAUGAUCUACCGGUCUGAUGAGUGCAGCACAUCAGAGAUAGAAUUACAUAAAUAUAUUCAAGAAGAAGUAGAAAACCACCCACUAAAUUUUGAUGUGCUAGAGUGGUGGAAGGUGAAUUCAUGCAGAUAUCCAAUACUUGCAAGCAUUGCAAGAGAGGUUUUAGCCAUACUGAUAUGCAGUGUAGCCUCUGAAUCUGAUUUUAGUAACGGAGGAAGGGUCCUUGACGCAUAUCGUAGUUCUUUAACAGCGGCUAGUGUCGAAACACUUAUUUGUACUGAAGAUUGACUCAAAGGAGUAGUUUCAUCUUUUCUUAGGAUUGAGGAUCUCGAUGAUAUUUAUCGAAUUGAGGAUGAACUACAUUCUACGUCGGAUGCUGGAAGUUGCUUAGCUUUUGUGUCUUUUGUUGAUUAUUGAUACAUAUUAAAAAUUAUUAGUCUUGGUAAGAAUGCUUAUCUUUCAAUCACUUGCUCUAUUUCAUCACUUUUAUUUUCUGGUAUAACAAUAGUAUCACCUUUCAAUCUCAUUAUACUUUUUAUUAAAUGCUAAGAACUACAACUAGCAAUGGACUUUUUUUUCUUUCAACAACCUCCAAUAAGUAAUAAUAGAGAGAGAAGUACAUUGGAAAAUUAAUUAGUAUAUAACUUUUUGAGUGAUAAUUGCCCGUACAAAGUAUUUUUUUUUUACCAAUACAUGUCAAGUAUUAUAAGUUUUUCAAUUCCAAAGUAGUAGUUUAUUUUGCUAGUGUUUUUGUUGUUGGCUACAUUCUGCUUAACUGCGAUGAUUAACUACUUUGUUCUGUCAGUUAAUUUAAUAUUGGAGGAGAUAGUUUUAUGGAAUAGUUUUAUUGGAGGAGACAGUUAACUUAAGUUGUGGUCAACUUGUUAAUAUGUUAAUGUUUUUAUGUUGAUAUUUAGUUGCUAUAUCCCUCUCCAUGUUUUCCUGAAUGUAUAUUAAAUUAGGUUUCUAAUAUCUAAACUUUGAGUUUACCUAAUUUUUAUGAGCAUGUCUAAUUAUCUGCUUCUUGUUUUUAACAUAAAAGACAUACAACUUUGUUUUCAGCUACACAAACAAAGAAGGUUUGUUGUUAAGUUCUAUCUUUCAUCAUGCACCUUUCCCUAAUGCAGAUCCUAGUUUCAAUUGCUCACUCCCUCAAUUUUAGAUUGUCAUAUACUAUGAUGUUUUGUCUUGGACUGGGAGUUCUGUGUGGCAAGUUUUCAGUUUAAUUUUAUUCUUUGUUGAAAUCGUGUAACCACUCUGCAGAAGGGACAUAGUAUUCCUUAAUCACUUGUUAAAUACCUUAUAACAAUAAUUGUUGACCCGUUCUUCAAAUGUGAAUUUGUUCGUGAGGAGGAUCUACCGGAAUAUCAAGUUUGACUAAGGCUUCUCUGUGUCGUGACCAGAGCAAUUCCAUAUGUCUAUUACUGGAGAAAUUAAUUCUUGCAGGAAGCCCUGAGAUUUUUUCCCCUGGCUGUAAUUGAAAGCCUUGAUUUAGCAUGCUGCAGGGAUUGGUCGUUAUUAUAAUUCAUAAUUCAGAUAGUAAGUAGCUAGAAAAUAUAAGACUCUUGUGGUUUCUUUUUAUUACAAAAUAGGGUGCUCAAAUCUAUGAAUUUUGAGGGGAUGAAGUCUAUGAAUUUUGUAUCAAAUCUGUUCUAACUACUUCCUCCACACAUUCCUUCAUGUUUUAAUCUUAAAUUAUGGACAAUUUUUCAGUUUUGUCUUGUAUUGUUUGUGAGAUAAGAUAGUAUAAGUUUUUUUUUUUGUAGUGUAGUGUAUGUAAACCUUCUCAUUUUUUGGAGUAUUAAGUGAUAUAUAUGGAUUAUUU